rnacentral:rRNA from 1 species
AUUGAACGCUGGCGGCAUGCCUUACACAUGCAAGUCGAACGGUAACGCGGGGCAACCUGGCGACGAGUGGCGAACGGGUGAGUAAUGUAUCGGAACGUGCCCAGUUGUGGGGGAUAACUGCUCGAAAGAGCAGCUAAUAUCGCAUACGACCUGAGGGUGAAAGCGGGGGAUCGCAAGACCUCGCGCAAUUGGAGCGGCCGAUAUCAGAUUAGGUAGUUGGUGAGGUAAAGGCUCACCAAGCCAACGAUCUGUAGCUGGUCUGAGAGGACGACCAGCCACACUGGAACUGAGACACGGUCCAGACUCCUACGGGAGGCAGCAGUGGGGAAUUUUGGACAAUGGACGCAAGUCUGAUCCAGCCAUUCCGCGUGCAGGACGAAGGCCUUCGGGUUGUAAACUGCUUUGUACGGAACGAAAAGAACUCUGGUUAAUACCUGGGUCCGAUGACGGUACCGUAAGAAUAAGCACCGGCUAACUACGUG